UCCGUACGGGGAAGGAUGAGAAGCUUCGACUAAGGUUCGAUUCGAGCGAAAGCGAGAAAGCGUUGCCGCAGGCAACGACCCGAAGGGCGAAACGCGCAGCGCUGAGUCAUCCUUCCCCCACCACCA
rnacentral:sRNA from 1 species